rnacentral:rRNA from 1 species
AUUUGGAUUAAUACCUCAUAGUAUUUUUGAAUGGCAUCAUUUGAUUAUUAAAGUUCCAACGGUAAAAGAUGAGUAUGCGUCCCAUUAGCUAGAUGGUAAGGUAACGGCUUACCAUGGCAACGAUGGGUAGGGGUCCUGAGAGGGAGAUCCCCCACACUGGUACUGAGACACGGACCAGACUCCUACGGGAGGCAGCAGUGAGGAAUAUUGGACAAUGGGCGCAAGCCUGAUCCAGCCAUGCCGCGUGCAGGAAGAAGGUCCUAUGGAUUGUAAACUGCUUUUAUACAGGAAGAAACAACGCUACGUGUAGCGUCUUGACGGUACUGUAUGAAUAAGGACCGGCUAACUCCGUGCCAGCAGCCGCGGUAAUACGGAGGGUCCAAGCGUUAUCCGGAAUCAUUGGGUUUAAAGGGUCCGUAGGCGGCCAAAUAAGUCAGUGGUGAAAGCCCAUCGCUCAACGAUGGAACGGCCAUUGAUACUGUUUGGCUUGAAUUAUUAGGAAGUAACUAGAAUAUGUAGUGUAGCGGUGAAAUGCUUAGAGAUUACAUGGAAUACCAAUUGCGAAGGCAGGUUACUACUAAUAUAUUGACGCUGAUGGACGAAAGCGUGGGGAGCGAACAGGAUUAGAUACCCUGGUAGUCCACGCCGUAAACGAUGGAUACUAGCUGUUCGGAGCAAUCUGA